rnacentral:misc_RNA from 1 species
AAGUCGUAACAAGGUUUCCGUAGGUGAACCUGCGGAAGGAUCAUUACCGUGCCUGUAGUUGUUGGCGGCUCCUCCGGGGGUUCGUUCGGCGCUACGUUCGGCCCAACCGUGUCUAUCUAUACCUGUUGCUUCGGCGGGCCUGCGGGCUUGCUCGCUGCCGGGAGUCCCUAAAGCUCCGGGCGCGUGUCCGCCGAAGACGCCUAGAACUACUGUUGAACUUAGCGGUCUGAGUGGGCUUUAUAAUCGUUAAAACUUUCAACAACGGAUCUCUUGGUUCCA